AGGGUAAAGUAGAGGUAGGACAUCA
rnacentral:piRNA from 1 species